rnacentral:rRNA from 1 species
AUUGAACGCUGGCGGCAGGCCUAACACAUGCAAGUCGAACGGUAGCACAGAGAGCUUGCUCUCGGGUGACGAGUGGCGGACGGGUGAGUAACGUCUGGGAAACUGCCCGAUGGAGGGGGAUAACUACUGGAAACGGUAGCUAAUACCGCAUAACGUCGCACGACCAAAGUGGGGGACCUUCGGGCCUCACACCAUCGGAUGUGCCCAGAUGGGAUUAGCUAGUAGGUGGGGUAAUGGCUCACCUAGGCGACGAUCCCUAGCUGGUCUGAGAGGAUAACCAGCCAAACUGGAACUGCGACACAGUCCAGACUCCUACGUGAGGCAGCAGUGGGGAAUAUUGCACAAUGGGCGCAAGCCUGAUGCAGCCAUGCCGCGUGUAUGAAGAAGGCCUUCGGGUUGUAAAGUACUUUCAGCGGGGAGGAAGGCGGUGAAGUUAAUAACUUCACCGAUUGACGUUACCCGCAGAAGAAGCACCGGCUAACUCCGUGCCAGCAGCCGCAGUAA